rnacentral:lncRNA from 1 species
GGGAGGGAGGCAGGGCGGGAGGGAGAGAGGGAGGGAGAGGUAGGGUGUCUGCUGUGUACAUGUGCUCCAGGCAGGGAGAUCAGCACGCUCAUAGAACAGGCAGUGUAAUUACAUGUUCCUCGGAAGUAUGUUCGACCCACGGGGAACUCUGCUUGCCCGCCUACUUGGGGAGGAAAAGUAGAUUUGGGGAUGGUGGAAGGGGUCAGUUCCUCACUGACUUCCUGCUUGGUUAGGAUGGGGGCAUUUGCUGAUCUCCAGUGACAGCCUGCUGCUCAUGGUCAGGCUCCACUCUCUUGCUACCAGAUACUUGAUUUUGCAAAAGGGACACACCUUUCUGCAGGAAAGAAGACACUGACCAGAUUGUGAGCGGUUUUUGUGGAUGCUUUGCAGUCACCCAGGGCCCAGGCGGACUGACUGCAGGAAGCUUGUGCAUGGGAAGCAGAGACCAUGGCAGUGCAGCUGGUGCCCGACUCCGCGCUCAGCCUGCUGAUGGUGAGUGCUGGGGGGGAGGUGGGGCCCAGGCAGCGCCCAGCUCCAGCCUCUCCUGCAUCACACACCCUGGGCUGCCGCCCGCUGCUGCUGCUGCUGCUGCUGUUGCUGUUGCUGCUUCAGUAGCAGCAGACAUGCUCACAAUUGCUCUGCUUUAUCCCACAGGCUCUUUUGAAAUGAUUUCUGGGCUAAGAGUCUUAGCCAUGACAAAGCACUCCCAGGGAAAAGAAGUAUUCGAUUUGCCAUUUUAGAAACUUGUUGCUUAACGCUAUUUUGAGAGAUGUGCUUGCAAACAGGUGCUGAGAGCCCCUGGAAAUAGAUUCCCAGCAACGCCUCCCCCUGGCUCUCAGCAUCCUUUCCCGGUGCCUUUUGUAUCUAAAUCGAGGUGAUCAUGUUUGUUUGUUUGUUUCUAUCUCCUCCUGGCAACUGUGGAGUUGUUCACCCACAGGGUGAUUGAAUAGGAUUUUCUUUCUAGGUGCCUAUGUGUCUGCUCAGAUUUCCCCAAAGAAGCAGCCGGGGGGCUUGGCGUUGGCCUUUUGUCACACUUGGGCUGCAGAAUUGGAGGAAGCUUAUUUCCACAAUUGCUUGAGAGACCCUGGCAGGCCUUGUAUGCAUCACAGACCUACUUUAAGUUGCUCUGUGAUUUCCAUCAUAUUAAGAAGGCCUCUGUUCUUAGCAUAUUUAAGCACACAAGGUCAGUGGCAUCGCCUUGGUUUACCCUGACCGACCUUUUACUAGACACCAGGUUCAGAGUUGGCUUUUGCGGUCCUGAUGCUCCACCCUCCUCCUCACCCAAUGACCCACUUGCCUGGGUGAUGCUGAGGGAGGCAGCCCCUUGGGGUAUGAAUGGAUCUCACAGUUACAGGGGCGAUUUCACACACACACACCAUAGUACUUCCACUAUGUAUAUUGACCUAUGUUUUGACUGAGAAAGGGUGGUGCCACUUUGUGAGAUCUGGGGGGUUUAUUAAGGCUGCUCAGAAGAGGAGCUGGGAGUGGGAGAGCCUGUCUACUGGGUGGCCACCCGGUCAAGCUAACAGACCUUGGUUCUGUGGUACCCCCAGUGUCAUUGAGGCUACAGAGGUAUUUGAAAUGUUUGAAAUCUCAUGGGCCUCUGCUGACUUACGGUUUCACUAGGGGAGAAGGACUGGGAAGAACAAAAGUUGUUUUCUGGAAAAAGUGCCCUUUUUGUGUCUUCCUUCCCUCUUAGAUCCUAUUGUCUGAUGAUGCUUUAAUCUCUAUUAUCUACCUGUGGUCAUGUAUGUAGAUGGGGUUCUGAGUGUUUGUGACUAGGGCAGGCACCAGAGUCACUGUGAGGACUCCUGGGAAGCUGACAAGUCUGGGCUACAUGCAAAAAAAAAAAAAAAAAA